AUUGAACGCUGGCGGCAGGCCUAACACAUGCAAGUCGAGCGGAUGAAGAGAGCUUGCUCUCUGAUUUAGCGGCGGACGGGUGAGUAAUGCCUAGGAAUCUGCCUGGUAGCGGGGGAUAACGUCCGGAAACGGGCGCUAAUACCGCAUACGUCCUACGGGAGAAAGCAGGGGACCUUCGGGCCUUGCGCUAUCAGAUGAGCCUAGGUCGGAUUAGCUAGUUGGUGAGGUAAUGGCUCACCAAGGCUACGAUCCGUAACUGGUCUGAGAGGAUGAUCAGUCACACUGGAACUGAGACACGGUCCAGACUCCUACGGGAGGCAGCAGUGGGGAAUAUUGGACAAUGGGCGAAAGCCUGAUCCAGCCAUGCCGCGUGUGUGAAGAAGGUCUUCGGAUUGUAAAGCACUUUAAGUUGGGAGGAAGGGCAGUAAGUUAAUACCUUGCUGUUUUGACGUUACCGACAGAAUAAGCACCAGCUAACUUCGUGCCAGCCGCCGCGGUAAAAC
rnacentral:rRNA from 1 species